rnacentral:rRNA from 1 species
GAUGAACGCUCGCGGCGUGCCUAAUACAUGCAAGUCGAGCGAACACACGAUUAUCUUUCUCCUCUUACGUUAUCGUCUGACGUGUGAGUAACACGUUCAUAACCUUCCUAUUUUUCUUGUAUAACUUCGUGAAACCGCUUCUAAUACCGUAUAAUAUAUUGUACCGCAUUGUUCAAUAGUUCUAUACUGUUUUUCUGUCUCUUUUAGAUUUUUCCGCUCUGCAUUAGCUAGUUGGUAAGGGAAAGGCUUACCAAGGCAACGAUGCGUAGACGACCUGAGAGGGUGAUCAGCCACACUGGAACUGAGACACGGUCCAGACUCCUACGGGAGGCAGCAGUAGGGAAUAUUCCGCAAUGGGCGAAAGCCUGACGGAGCAACGCCGCGUGAGUGAUGAAGGUCUUCGGAUCGUAAAACUCUGUUAUUAGGGAAGAAAAAAAGUGUAAGAAACUAUGCACGUAUUGACGGUACCUAAACAGAAAGCAACGGCUAACUACGUG